rnacentral:rRNA from 1 species
UACGGGGGGGGCAAGCGUUGUUCGGAAUUACUGGGCGUAAAGGGCUUGUAGGCGGCCAACUAAGUCAGACGUGAAAUCCCUCGGCUUAACCGGGGAACUGCGUCUGAUACUGGAUGGCUUGAAUCCGGGAGAGGGAUGCGGAAUUCCAGGUGUAGCGGUGAAAUGCGUAGAUAUCUGGAGGAACACCGGUGGCGAAGGCGGCAUCCUGGACCGGCAUUGACGCUGAAAAGCGAAAGCCAGGGGAGCAAACGGG